GCAAGAGAAAAAAUGAGCGCAAUCCAAUUUCGCCACUUUUUGCACCUCCCAGAUAUUGGAUGUCGGUCGCUCACAUGGAAAUAACCGAGAACCAGGCUCCCCUUUGGAAUUUGCUUGUAAUCAUUCUGGAGGUGAAAAAACUGAAACGUCAAGACAACCUCAAAGUUUUGAAAAACUUCGUUUGUUCCAUUAGAAAAAACUUCGUCAAAACACCGAACAGGCCAACGAUCAGAUGAUUUCAACUCUGAUUUUUGAAUUGUGAAGGAAGGAAUUACCUGGAUAUGUGAUCAGCUCGG